UAGACGAAGACGCAUGGAUAUGUGUGGUGUGAUGGUAAGGUCAAGCUUUUAUCGCUAUCCUAACAGAAGUUUUGCCAAAUGUAGAAACAAAUACAAGUCUUGUGAGACUUGGACCUGAGGCACAAGGUGUUGUUGGCUUAAGAUGAAGAUCUUCUUGUAAGAUAGAAGCCCACCAAGAUACCGCUCAACAUAGGACUGCAAGCAACCUAAGAUAUUGUUGGCAUUCAGGAACUCUACAUUCCUAUUUGGAUUUAUUAUAUUAAAAUCUAAAAAUAUAUCUUCUGUGUUUUUAUAUACAGACACUGUAAGUGUCUGUAUAUAAUCUGAUGGGUCUGUCUGUCCAUGUCAUGGCCUUCGCUGACCAAUACAUGACGUUUGCCCCAUAACUGCCAAACUGUUUUUCUUUUUUUUUUUUUUUUUUUGUUUUGUUUUGUUUUACUGUAAAUUUAUUGAGUGGCUUUGUUUGGUACAGAUGCAGGUUGCUUUCGAAAAGCAACAUGAUGGGUUUACAAUUAUAGAAAUAAUUCUUUUUCACAAUUUUUGUGACAUUAGCCCCUUCAUCAGUACCACCAGUGUGUAUGCUGGUAGUAUUCUUGGUUUUAGUUCGGCCUGUCUUGUACACUCGAUCAGCAGUCAGCCGCCAGAAACAAGUCACCAUUACCACUUCUCCUCCUAGACUGCAAGGGCCUGUGUCCCCAUCUCUGGGAUUUAGGUCUAAGGUCACAUAUAAUCUCAACUUGAACCCCCUGUUUUUUGUCUGUUUGUUUAUUGGCCUAGGCAUGAUGCUUGUUGAAACACACCCUUGUCAAAAUUUUGAAAAUUAAAUGCUAAAUAUCUCCUAAAAUGAAGGAAUUAUGGGAAAGGUUACUAUAUAAGUCUGACUGAAAGUCUUAUGUGGAGUUUCCAAAUAUGCCCUUUGGUUUGACCUUUGACCUUUAUUUCAAGUUUAAAUGAGCCAAAAUUUCUUUAGUUUAAAAUGGAGAUUUUCUACAAAAAUAUUUGUUUGUGCCAAUUUUCAGGAACUACACAGACCUAAGCUCUCAUAUUUAAAUGAGGGGUUACAUUUAGGGACUCCUUUCAUCUUCGUGAGUUUGGGAGUCAAUCAGUGCCCUUUCAAAGGAGAAGCAGCCAUUAGAUUCUGAAACUAAAAACUUUCUAAUUCUGGAACUGUAAAUGCUACAGACCCCUUGAUUUUUGCAUUUUGUAGAGCAAAAGAACUGUUGCAAUAUUCAGUAGUGAGCUGAUCGAAAUGUGAAAUACUCCCAAAAUUAGCAGAGAUAAGCCCAUAGUUACUAUUGAACUUGAAUAGGAAGUCAUAUACUGGCAAUCUAAUUGUGACCAUAAAUUUGACCUUUGAUUUACUUGUCACCAUGAUCUUUGCAAAAUCUCCCUUCCUGAUUUCUCCAAAGGAAUUCGUACAUUUACAAUCUUCCUGUGACCUUGAAAUUAAUCUUUAACCUACUUUCCACCAUGUACCACACCUGGCAAAUUUCCAGGUUCUUACAUUUAUUGUUGAACUUGGAUGGAAAGUCCUUUAUUUACAAUCUAACUUCAACCUUGGAUUUGACCUUUCACUUUUCCCCAAAUUGUAAUUUUUUGCAAAAAAAAAAAAGGAGUUGUUCAC